GACGAACGCUGGCGGCGUGCUUAACACAUGCAAGUCGAACGGAAAGGCCCUUCGGGGUACUCGAGUGGCGAACGGGUGAGUAACACGUGGGUGAUCUGCCCUGCACUUUGGGAUAAGCCUGGGAAACUGGGUCUAAUACCGAAUAGGACUCCGGGAUGCAUGUUUCGGGGUGGAAAGCUUUUGCGGUGUGGGAUGGGCCCGCGGCCUAUCAGCUUGUUGGUGGGGUGAUGGCCUACCAAGGCGACGACGGGUAGCCGGCCUGAGAGGGUGUCCGGCCACACUGGGACUGAGAUACGGCCCAGACUCCUACGGGAGGCAGCAGUGGGGAAUAUUGCACAAUGGGCGCAAGCCUGAUGCAGCGACGCCGCGUGGGGGAUGACGGCCUUCGGGUUGUAAACCCCUUUCAGCACAGACGAAGCGCAAGUGACGGUAUGUGCAGAAGAAGCACCGGCCAACUACGUGCCAGCCGCCGCGGUAACAC
rnacentral:rRNA from 1 species